UGAAUGUUGCGGUUGCGCAGAUUUGUACGGAAUGGGGUGAGUUUACGCUACAACCAGGCUUGCCUUGAGAACAGACUUGAUUUACACUAAUGCGAUGCUCCGCGCCAAAUGGUCUGUGAUGGAAGACUCAUGAGAAAAUAAGCUGUCUGUUCUACUCACGCUAUUUUGUUUUGUAUUUUCGUGGAAAAAUCGUCUAAAUAUUUUUGAGCAGCUGUUAGUGUAGGCAGGUCUUCAAGAUGCAAUUAAACACCAGUUGCCUGAGUUGGGGCCCGAGAUGGUGAGAUCUUUGUUGGAGUAUCUUAGGGCAAAUGUUGGAGUGGAGAAUAUUAACACCCUUGAAUAUGUUCAGCCGGAGGACAUGAAAUAACAUUUGACGCCAAUACAGUGCCGGAAAAUUGCUUCAGUCCUUCAACCAAAGAGGAAAUUACGAAUGGAUAGGAUCUGUAACAAUGGAUAGGACACAUGUCCUCCUCCGAGCAUCAGUGACCUCCAGGAACAGUGGCCUUUCCUUUUCUCCAAGUUAUGGCACUGCGACCACUUCAAUACUCGUGAUUGACAGCCACCUGACUCAAGCUCUCCUGGUCAAAGGGACAGAUAAUUGUCUACUUUUUUAAAAGCCCAAAAGACCAAGUUGAGCAGAGAGAUCCAGUGCCUGCUAAAUGAAACUGACAGUUACAAAAAAGGCGAUGACGAUCUCACAGCCACUGCUGCCAUUCUUCUGUUGAUGACCCACUUCAAAGAGAAGGACACAUCUCUGUUCCUCUUGGCAGAUGUCACUGCAUCGCGGGUUGAUGUCAAGGAGCAAAUUCCUUUGCCAGACACACCAAGGCUGAUCAUGCUUGGAAAUACUCUAUUGGGUUCCUCAAAAUGGAGGGUGGCGAUCAAGGGAAGAGGGGUCUGUGUUUUGGACAGUGCAACUUUGCUGCUGCCCUCUGUGCUCUUCAGCACUUUCUAUGUUUUUAAACAUAGAAUAGCAGGAGUCGGCCUCUGCAACCUUGGAGCUGAUAC